rnacentral:rRNA from 1 species
AACGGACGCUGGCGGCAGGCUUAACACAUGCAAGUCGAACGCUCCGCAAGGAGAGUGGCAGACGGGUGAGUAACGCGUGGGAAUCUACCUAGUUCUACGGAACAACAGAGGGAAACUUCUGCUAAUACCGUAUACGCCCUAAGGGGGAAAGAUUUAUCGGAAUUAGAUGAGCCCGCGUAAGAUUAGCUAGUUGGUGGGUA